GAUGAACGCUGGCGGCGUGCCUAAUACAUGCAAGUCGAGCGAACAGAUGAGGAGCUUGCUCCUCUGACGUUAGCGGCGGACGCGUGAGUAACACGUGGAUAACCUACCUAUAAGACUGGGAUAACUUCGGGAAACCGGAGCUAAUACCGGAUAAUAUAUUGAACCGCAUGGUUCAAUAGUGAAAGACGGUUUUGCUGUCACUUAUAGAUGGAUCCGCGCCGCAUUAGCUAGUUGGUAAGGUAACGGCUUACCAAGGCAACGAUGCGUAGCCGACCUGAGAGGGUGAUCGGCCACACUGGAACUGAGACACGGUCCAGACUCCUACGGGAGGCAGCAGUAGGGAAUCUUCCGCAAAGGGCGAAAGCCUGACGGAGCAACGCCGCGUGAGUGAUGAAGGUCUUCGGAUCGUAAAACUCUGUUAUUAGGGAAGAACAAAUGUGUAAGUAACUAUGCACGUCUUGACGGUACCUAAUCAGAAAGCCACGGCUAACUACGUG
rnacentral:rRNA from 1 species